GGGUGGGUCUGUCUGUGCAUACACAGUUGUGAAGGUUGUGAGGUCUCCUUGAAGUGUUGUGAGCUUCUCCACCCUUUGUGUUGCUUGUUGUGCAAUGUUCUCAAGUUGCAUGCCUGUCAACAUGGCGACUGGCCUGGCUUCCUUGGUCACACCUCUGCAGAACCUUGCUGAACAUCUGCCAAAAGUUUCCGGCCAGAGUCUGAUUAGGGCUUUGCUCUUAAGCAAAACUGUUUACAGGAAAAAAAAAAAAAAAGGUUUCGAUUUCUUCGAUAUUUAUGUGGUUUUGUGUUUUUAUACCCUGCGCUAUUGUGUCUUAAUUAAAAAUUUUAUCAACUGGCUUCUAAGUUGAGAGCAGAAUCUUUUUGAAACAAAAAGCCACUUUGCCUACAUGGGAGACCAUAACACUGGGAAAAUAUAUGGGACUUGUCACCAGACACAGAAUGACUGACAGAUAGGGCCAGGCUAGAGUUUCUUUAUGUGAAAUCAAGUGGGGGGCCUUGCUCCUUUGCUUCGGGCUUGGUAUUCUCUUACCACUUGGUGGAGCCCUGUGGGGCAACAGUGUAGCCCUCACUCCAAUUCACUGUACAAGUUGGUAUUUCUGUAGUAAUGACCCCAGGAAAGACAAUCAGAUAAAAUCUGGGAUAAGCAAAUGUAGAAGGUUAAAUAUUGAUUGGGAGGAGGGUGGAGAGACUGGUGAUGCUGUUCAAAGUGGGAUAAUUCAGAAAUCUCUAGUAGUAACCCAACAGGAAGUACCACUCUACAGCUGGUUAAAGCUGAUAUGGAAUGCUAUUUUUAAAACGUUAUUUUGUUUUGUGCUUUUGGCCAAGAACUAUUAACUCCUGUUGUUUUCCUCCCUUGCUCCCAUGGUAGUUGUUCUGUUUGGGGCAGAUGGGUUGGAUUUCUGCAGGUUUGCACUCUCUGAAGACGUGAAGGGAAGUGAGGAUACCAUUCAUGUCAGUAUAGUCUCCAUUCCACCUCGUCCCCGUGCCCCCAGCUUCACAUUGCAGCAGUGUGAUGCUGUUUCUUUGUUUAUACUCCUCUCUCAGGCUGAGGGUAUUUGUUACAGCUCUAGAAAACUGUAGAAACACUGUAGCUUUCCACCCUGUUGUCUCUUGUUGCCCGGUCCCACAAUAACCUGCCCUCCCUCCUCAGGUGAUUCCAGGCGCUAUGAGCCAGCUGCUAGAAUGUUGGCAGUGGAAGCAGAGGACCCCAGUGGUGGUCUGCUGCUGCACUGCUUCAUAGCCCACAGGUUUGCAGCAGAGCCAUCCUGUUCCUCAUCAGCUACUAGGAGCCUUUAAACAGAGUGAAUGCUGUAAGACUUUGUACAUACUUUAGUUGUUCUGGAAUCUAAGAAGAAAGUUAUGCUAAUAAAUAGCUCUGGUGUAGGCUUU
rnacentral:lncRNA from 1 species